rnacentral:rRNA from 1 species
GUGAGGAAUAUUGGUCAAUGGGCGAGAGCCUGAACCAGCCAAGUCGCGUGAAGGAAGAAGGAUCUAUGGUUCGUAAACUUCUUUUGCAGGGGAAUAAAGUGCAGGACGUGUUCUGUUUUGUAUGUACCCUGAGAAUAAGGAUCGGCUAACUCCGUGCCAGCAGCCGCGGUAAUACGGAGGAUCCGAGCGUUAUCCGGAUUUAUUGGGGUUAAAGGGUGCGUAGGUGGUUUGAUAAGUCAGCGGUGAAAGUUUGCAGCUUAACUGUAAAAAUGCCGUUGAAACUGUCGGACUUGAGUGUAAAUGAGGUAGGCGGAAUGCGUGGUGUAGCGGUGAAAUGCAUAGAUAUCACGCAGAACUCCGAUUGCGAAGGCAGCUUACUAAGCUACAACUGACACUGAAGCACGAAAGCGUGGGGAUCAAACAGGAUUAGAAACCCGGGUAGUCC